rnacentral:lncRNA from 1 species
CUCUCUUAGGAGCUGAUCAAAAUCAAACUAAGAAAUUUUUUACACAUGUGAGUCUUGGGGACUUCAGGGUCAUUCAAGGCAGAAUCAGGCCAUAAAUAGUAAUGCCAGAGAUGACAGGAUGUGUAGAGGGACAGGGGAAAAAUCUUACAGUGAAAGAAGAGUAGGGGAGUCUUGAAGUAUAAGUCCUUUGGGGGUCAGAGGACUUUAGAGAAGCUGAUGUUGUAAAAGAAAACAGACUUGUCACCUCUGGCAAAGCCUCAACAUAUGGGUAUGUAUCCGUCAGGGUUCAGCCAGAGAAGCAGAACAACUGGAAGAUAAUUAGAAUUAUCAGCCUGUGCCACCCCCAUCAUGUGUCUCUAAAGACCCCAGACUCAGUCAGUAGAGGGGAGAUGGCCUGACUUUGGGGAGGAGACAGCCUGACUUCAGGGAAGAAAUGGCCUGACUUCGGGACAAAGACCUCCUGACUUCAGGGGAAGACAACGAGCGGCCCUUCCCAUCCCCUCUCCAACUCCCCUCUCCGCUGAGAGCUGUUUUCAUCACUCAAUAAAAUUCUCUGCCCCCACCGUC